CAGCAACCAUGACUUUGGUCUCCAUCUUCAUCUGGACCCUCACCCUCUGGACUCAAGGAUCCAGUGGUCAGGUGACUGUGACUCAGACUCCUGCAGUGAAAACUGUUUCUCCAGGAGACUCAGUUACCAUCAGCUGUAGAACCAGCCCUCCAGUGUAUCUUGAUAGCAGUGGGGAUUAUUAUAUGUUCUGGUAUCAGCAGAAACCUGGAGAAGCUCCUAAACUCCUGAUCUACUGGGCUAACAGGAAACAGUCAGGAGUUCCAGCUCGUUUCAGUGGCAGUGGAUCUGGAUCUGACUUCACUCUGACCAUCAGUAAUGUCCAGACUGAAGAUGCAGGAGAUUAUUACUGUCAGAGUUAUCACAGUGGUGAUGCAGAAAUGUUCCUCCUGGAGAGUAAUGUCUUUCUCCAAGCUGUAAUUCCUCACAUACUGUUCUACUUCUUUACUUGCCUGAUGGUGGAGUCAUGA